rnacentral:lncRNA from 1 species
GGUGGGUAUCAAUAAAAUCAACAUUGACAGCAUUAUAAAAUGGCUGCUGAAAGUGAGAGCGUCCCAGUCAGGCAAGAAAUACCAGCUCCACCAGAAUGCAAUCCAAGGAAUCUGCCUCAUGUCUCAGGAGAACUUUCUCAGUAAGCCUAUUAGAACUUGAAGCACCACUCAAGAUAUGUGGUGACAUCUAAGGGCAGACUUGCUCCUGCUGUUUGAAUAUAGUAUCUUCCCUCUAGAAAGCAACCAUUUGUUUUUCAGGGACUAUGUGGACAGGGGUCAAGCAGGCCCUGGAGACGAUCUUCCUCUUGCUGGCCUACAACACUAAGUAUCUGAAGAACUUUCUUCUUCCCAGAGGGAAGCAUGAGUGUACCAGCAUCAAAUGAAUCUAUGGACUUUAUGAUGAGUGUAAAAAAGGAUACACCAUUAAGCCUUGGAAAACAUUCACAGAUUGUUUCAACUGCUUACUAAGAGCAGCCAUUGUUGACCAGAAAAUAAUCUGCUGUCAUGGAGGUUUAUCAGCAGAACUUCCAUCUAUCUUUGUGGUCUGACCCCAAUAAAGAUGUCUCAGGCUGGGGUGAAAAUGACAGAGGAGUUUUCUUCACAUUUGGUGCAGACUUGCAAAGUUUCUCCAUAAGCAUGAUUUAGAUAUCAUAUGUAGAGCUCAUCAGGUGGUUCAAAGAGGAAAUCACUCUGCUUUCUGCACUUAACCGUGGUGAUGAGUUUGACAGCACAGAAGCCAUGAUGAGUAUGAAUGAAGUCGUCAUGUGUUCCUUCUAUAUUUUAAAGCCUGUAGAGAAA